rnacentral:rRNA from 1 species
CGGCGCAUUAGCUAGUUGGUGAGGUAACGGCUCACCAAGGCGACGAUGCGUAGCCGACCUGAGAGGGUGAUCGGCCACACUGGGACUGAGACACGGCCCAGACUCCUACGGGAGGCAGCAGUAGGGAAUCUUCCGCAAUGGACGAAAGUCUGACGGAGCAACNCCGCGUGAGUGAAGAAGGUCUUCGGAUCGUAAAGCUCUGUUGUUAGGGAAGAACAAGUAUCGGAGGAAAUGCCGGUACCUUGACGGUACCUGACGAGAAAGCCACGGCUAACUACGUGCCAGCAGCCGCGGUAAUACGUAGGUGGCAAGCGUUGUCCGGAAUUAUUGGGCGUAAAGCGCGCGCAGGCGGUCCUUUAAGUCUGAUGUGAAAUCUUGCGGCUCAACCGCA